rnacentral:lncRNA from 1 species
AUCCACUAGUGCACCAAAAAACACCUUCCAAAGAGAAAUGUUUACAAAUGGAACCAAAUAUCGGACUCUUAAUCGGUUCUAUUCACAAAUUGAAAAGCCUUAAACCCUAUUGUAUAAAUCACUCGAAUAGGAACCAAUCAGAACAGCUAAAUAUAGACUCGAGUUUCUAUUACAAUAUGUUAAAAAGGAUUCACAGAUGUAUUCAAGAUCAACCACUCAAUCUAUGGAAGAAAAUAGAAGAAU